rnacentral:rRNA from 1 species
AUUGAACGCUGGCGGCAGGCCUAACACAUGCAAGUCGAGCGAGCGGCGGACGGGUGAGUAAUGUAUGGGGACUGCCCGAUAGAGGGGGAUAACUACUGGAAACGGUGGCUAAUACCGCAUACUAUCGGAUAACCCAUAUGGGAUUAGCUAGUAGGUGGGGUAAAGGCUCACCUAGGCGACGAUCUCUAGCUGGUCUGAGAGGAUGAUAAUCCACACUGGAAAUUGGACACGUCGCAGACUCCUCCGGAGGCAGCAGUGGGGAAUAUUGCACAAUGGGCGCAAGCCUGAUGCAGCCAUGCCGAGUGUAUGAAGAAGGCCGUAGGGUUGUAAAGUACUUUCAGUGGGGAGGAGUUACCCGCAGAAGAAGAACCGGCUAACUCCGUGCCAGCAGCCGCGGUAAUAC